GCAGAUAUUCCUGCCCUUUCUCCUGCAUAUCUCAAUAGUUUUCAGAAGAUCAAGGAACCCUGCUGAAGAGUGUAGAAUACAGGAAAGGAUAAGCAGAAAAAGUCUUUUAGUCAGCAUGCUAUGUCUUUAGAAUAUCCACCUAAAGACUUCUGCACAGCACCUCCUUGAGACUUAUGCAUAAUACGUCAACUGACAGCAUGCACCAGAAUCAUAGAAUUGGAAGAGACCCCAAGGACCAUCCAGUCCAAGCCCUGCCAUACAAGAACACAUGAUCAAAAGACUCCUGACAGAUGGCCAUCCAGCCUCUGUUGAACCACUCUCUGAGGUAGCAUAUUCCACUGUUGAACAGCUCUUCCUAAUGUUUAAAUGGAAUCUCUUUUUCCUGUAGUUUGAAUCCAUUGCUCCAUGUCCUAGUUCUGGAGCAACAGAAAACAAGCUUGCUACAUCCUCUAUAUGACUACCCUUCAGAUUUAAAUAUGGCUAUCAUGUUUCCUCUUAACCUUCUCCAGACUAAGCAUAUGCAGCUCCUCAUAGAACAUGGUUUCCAGAUGUUUCACCAUUUUGGUCAUCCUCUUCUGGACAUUCUCCAACUUUUGUAAUACUACCAAAACAAUCUGGUGCUCUGGAGUUCUGAAACAAAAGUAUCAUAGAUGUACUUAAGAUAUACGAUCUAUAUUCCUGAUCACUACUGGUUUGAUGUACUUUAGAAUUGAAUAUUGUUGCUUUGUGUCUCAGACUGAGAUCAUCUUCUAGAUCCGAAGGGCUGUACAGGCCAGCUUUCCAUCAUAAGGCAUCUGCUCUUGAAAGAGAUGUCAAGUCCAUGUCUGGUUUAAAGGUAAAGAACCAUAAGAAGGGAAUGAAGGAGCCAGACUGUUGACAAUCAAUCACUAGCUCCUGAAUAAACACAUAGGCCCUCACUGGGACAGCUGGGAUGAGAGAGGCCAGGAGAGCUGCACCUUUGAAAUGUAGGCUCUAAGCCCAGGACCAUCACCCACUGGCACAGAAACACCUGAGCCCACCUGGCUGAACCAGCCCAGAGAAUAUUAUCAGCCUAUAGUGGACAUU